AUACGGAGGAUGCGAGCGUUAUCCGGAUUUAUUGGGUUUAAAGGGUGCGCAGGCGGCCAUUUAAGUCAGCGGUUAAAUCGUGGGGCUCAACCCCAUUCUGCCGUUGAUACUGGGUGGCUUGAUUGCGGUCGAGGUUGGCGGAAUUCGUUGUGUAGCGGGGAAAUGCAUAGAUAUGACGAAGAACACCGAUUGCGUAGGCAGCUGACCAGACCGCAAAUGACGCUCAUGCACGAAAGUGCGGGGAUCGAACAGGAUUAGAUACCCUGGUAGUCCGCACAGUAAACGAUGAAUACUUGUUUUCGGCGAUAUAAUGUCGGAGGCAAAGCGAAAGCGAUAAGUAUUCCACCUGGGGAGUACGCCGGCAACGGUGAAACUCAAAUGAAUUGGCGGGG
rnacentral:rRNA from 1 species